rnacentral:rRNA from 1 species
AGUGAACGCUGGCGGUAGGCCUAACACAUGCAAGUCGAACGGCAGCACAGGAGAGCUUGCUCUCUGGGUGGCGAGUGGCGGACGGGUGAGGAAUACAUCGGAAUCUACUCUGUCGUGGGGGGUAACGUAGGGAAACUUACGCUAAUACCGCAUACGACCUACGGGUGAAAGCAGGGGAUCUUCGGACCUUGCGCGAUCGAAUGAGCCGAUGUCGGAUUAGCUAGUUGGCGGGGUAAAGGCCCACCAAGGCGACGAUCCGUAGCUGGUCUGAGAGGAUGAUCAGCCACACUGGAACUGAGACACGGUCCAGACUCCUACGGGAGGCAGCAGUGGGGAAUAUUAGACAAUGGGCGCAAGCCUGAUCCAGCCAUACCGCGUGGGUGAAGAAGGCCUUCGGGUUGUAAAGCCCUUUUGUUGGGAAAGAAAUCCAGCUGGCUAAUACCCGGUUGGGAUGACGGUACCCAAAGAAUAAGCACCGGCUAACUUCGUGCCAGCCGCCGCCGUAA